AGUGGGCACACAUGGCAGCCAGCGUGGCCAGAUGGUUAACGGUUUGUCUACACUACCACACGGUAAUGGAUACGUGCGGUUUAGGCCCCCCCAGAGUAGCUCGCUUUUGGGUGUGCUGGAAGCAUAUGGCAGCACGUUCGAUGUUGCGUCAAGAAUUCAUCAUAGCAAGUUUGUAUGAAAGUCUGGUUAUUACAUUUUAUGAAUUUAUUCACAGGUACAUUUUAAAGAUGCUCUAAAACGCUCUGGUGACAAACAAACGUUUCUUCCCUGUUUCCAAUCGUCCACAUGGCUGGGAUAACCUAUUCAAGUUUUCUGUCCUCCGAUACAGAAGCCUGUCUGCAGAUGAAGAGGUCCCAAUGAAGAGCAGUGGUUCUCAGUCCUGGUCCUGGGAACUCAAAGGGAUGCACGUUUCUGUUUCAACCUUAGCACGACACAGCUGAUUCAAAUGAUCAACUCAUCAAGCUUCAAGUAGUAUUUAUGUAUUCAUUUGUGAUGCUAUCCUUGAUAUGAUCCUGCUAUUGUCACAUGCUACACAUGCAUCUAUCUAUCCAAUGUUAUCAUGAUUUGUUAUGAGGAAUAUUAUACUUUAGUAAUCCACAAUGACCUGGUGAUGUGAAAGUCUAAUGACAUUAUCUUCCAUAUUCCUACAGAUACCUUGUAACAGGACAUUAUUUCAAAACGAUUGCCUACAGUUACCGUGUAGGGCACUGCAGGGUUGGGUGACCAGGGCCAUCUGGGACUGCCUCCUGGGGGAAUUCAGGCGUGUGAAGGCUACCUGUGUCCUGCAUAAUAUAAUGGACACGAGGACCAGGAGGGGAUCUGCAACUCGCCACCAUGUGCCAUAGGAGAAGUCUGCUGCUCUUCAGGAUGUUUCAAGGAUGGGGUCCAACAAUGCGGCAAGAGGCGAGAGAUCUUCACCUCCUACUUCUUCGAAGGGUGUGCUGUUCCCUGGCAACACCAUAGACUACACUAUGAACAACCAAAGGCUCUUUUAAGAGCCAUCCACAUUGCAAUAAGAGUAUUCUUCCAUUUGCUUAGCUAUGUCAACUGCAGUUGUUCAAUUCCCAGUUUCUCUCCCUUUUAAUUUCUACUUCUCAGGUGAGGGUGCUGUUUAGGUAAGGGUGUGAUGUCUGUACAAAAACAAAACAGGCUAUUUUAAGUCUCCCAUAUUGAAAAGAUGUAGAACAAUUAGACACCCUAUAACCCACACUUAUGUAUCAAUCUGAUUCAUGGGUUGUGCAGUAAGCAGACUCAGGUGUAUAACUGUGGCUCCUUCCACAUUCAAAGAAUAGGCAAGAGGGCCAACCAUGGAGAAUAGUAAGACACUUAAUUAUUUCUAUAACUGCGCUAUAUUUUUUGUCCUCGUAAGUCUGCACGUUUUUCCAGCAUGCAUUACUCUGCAGCCACUUAGUGUGGACACCAGGUGUGGCCACACACACAGAUUCCUGUUGAACACUUGUCUCUUUAACUACCUUAUUUUCUCUAACAGUCUGAGAGAUUAUUAGGGUAACACUGUAAUUCAUUAAUCAUAUACUGUCUUCCCUGCUCCUCUGUUCUUUCCCUUUUACAGCUCUCUUGCCACCUCUUUCCUCCUGUUUUUAUAAUGCACAACAGAUGUGCAUUGAAGUACAGAUUGAACUUGUAUUUAUAAUAUUACAAUUAUAUUUAUAAUGCAUAUAUUAUGUCAUAACAUUUGGAUAAUUAACUUCUUUCAAUAAAGCAUUUCACAUUCUC